CAAGAUGGACUCAUUUUGGCCAUAAUAAAAUUGGAAAGACACAAAUAAGAUUAACAUAGCCCCUGCACAAAGAUGCCAUGUAAUAUUAUGAAGUCUUCCAUAAUAAA